UUAACGGCGUCAAGCGGCGGACGGGUGAGUAAUGCCNAGGAAAUUGCCCUGAUGUGGGGGAUAACCAUUGGAAACGAUGGCUAAUACCGCAUAAUCUCUUCNGAGCAAAGAGGGGGACCUUCGGGCCUCUCGCGUCAGGAUAUGCCUAGGUGGGAUUAGCUAGUUGGUGAGGUAAUGGCUCACCAAGGCGACGAUCCCUAGCUGGUCUGAGAGGAUGAUCAGCCACACUGGAACUGAGACACGGUCCAGACUCCUACGGGAGGCAGCAGUGGGGAAUAUUGCACAAUGGGCGCAAGCCUGAUGCAGCCNUGCCGCGUGUAUGAAGAANGCCUUCCGGUUGUAAAGUACUUUCAGCAGUGAGGAAGGGGUGUACGUUAAUAGCGUGCAUCUUUGACGUUAGCUGCAGAANAANCACCGGCUAACUCCGUGCCAGCAACCGCGGUAAUACNGAGGGUGCGAGCGUUAAUCGGAAUUACUGGGCNGUAAAGCGCAUGCAGGUGGUUUGUUAAGUCAGAUGUGAAAAGCCCGGGGCUCAACCUCGGGAAUUGCAUUUGAAACUGG
rnacentral:rRNA from 1 species